rnacentral:rRNA from 1 species
UUUGUGAUGAUGCAAUCUACCCGCGGCUAGACGGAAAGACCCCAUGAACCUUUACUGUAGCUUUGCAUUGGACUUUGAACCAAUCUGUGUAGGAUAGGUGGGAGGCUUUGAAGCGGGAACGCCAGUUUCUGUGGAGCCAACCUUGAAAUACCACCCUGGUUUGUUUGAGGUUCUAACCUUGGUCCGUUAUCCGGAUCGGGGACAGUGCAUGGUAGGCAGUUUGACUGGGGCGGUCUCCUCCUAAAGUGUAACGGAGG